AUUGAACGCUGGCGGCAUGCCUUACACAUGCAAGUCGAACGGCAGCGCGGGAGUAGCUCUUGCGUCGAGUGGCGGACGGGUGAGUAAUACCUCGGAACCUGCCCAAUCGUGGGGGAUAACGCAGCGAAAGCUGCGCUAAUACCGCAUACGAUCUGCGGGUGAAAGCGGGGGAUCUUAAGACCUCACGCGAAUGGAUCAGCCUAUGUCAGAUUAGGUAGUUGGUGGGGUAAAGGCCUACCAAGCCUUCGAUCCGUAGCUGGUCUGAGAGGAGGACCAGCCAAACUGAGACUGAGACACGGCCCAGACUCCUACGGGAGGAAGCAGUGGGGAAUUUUGGACAAUGGGCGAAACCCUGAUCCAGCCAUGCCGCGUGCAGGAUGAAGGCCUUCGGGUUGUAAACUGCUUUUGUACGGAACGAAACGGGCUUUUCUAAUAAAGAAGGUUAAUGACAGAACCGUAAGAAUAAGCACCGGUUAAUUACGU
rnacentral:rRNA from 1 species